UUGCUGGAGCAGCUGCCUGCUUUGCAACAACUUCUUUUCCGUGUUCUUGGUUGUCAGCCGCAAGGGGCAGCAGUUAAUAACUUUGUCAUUCAGUUGGCACUUUUGUUGGUUGCUUCUGAAAGCAUUAAAAUCUAUCAAGCUAUAAGUGAUGGUACUGCCAAUUUGGUUGACAAGUUCUUUGAGAUGCAACGGCAUGAUUCCUUGAGGGCUUUGGAUAUAUAUAGGAGGGCUUGUCAGCAGGCAGAGAGACUCUCAGAAUUUUAUGAGAUAUGCAAAAGUAUGGAUAUUGGGCGUGGAGAAAAAUUUAUUAAGAUUGAGCAGCCUCCUGCGUCAUUCCUACAAACCAUGGAAGAGUACGUGCGAGAAGCUCCACGGAUGUCCACAGUUCACAAAGAUCAGGUUGCUGACAAUAAAAUUGCUGCCCCAAAAGAA
rnacentral:misc_RNA from 1 species